rnacentral:rRNA from 1 species
UGUCGUCAGCUCGUGUUGUGAAAUGUUGGGUUAAGUCCCGCAACGAGCGCAACCCUUAUCCUUUGUUGCCAGCGAUUAGGUCGGGAACUCAAAGGAGACUGCCAGUGAUAAACUGGAGGAAGGUGGGGAUGACGUCAAGUCAUCAUGGCCCUUACGACCAGGGCUACACACGUGCUACAAUGGCGCAUACAAAGAGAAGCGACCUCGCGAGAGCAAGCGGACCUCAUAAAGUGCGUCGUAGUCCGGAUUGGAGUC